UCCCUGGUGGUCCAGUGGCUAAGACUGCGUUCCCAAUGCAGGGGCCCAAGUUCGAUCCUUGGUCAGGGAA
rnacentral:tRNA from 1 species